GCAAGCGCGGGUAAACGGCGGGAGUAAC
rnacentral:sRNA from 1 species